UCUUCUUGAAUUGAUUUGAAGUYUGGCCUGUUCACUGAUUAAUUUAAGAACCGCGGUAUUUUGACCGUGCAAAGGUAGCAUAAUCAUUAGUCUUUUAAUUGGGGGCUGGAAUGAAUGGUUUAAUGAAUUAAUAAUUGUGUCUGGAUGAUAAGUUGAAUUUUAUUUUUAAGUUAAAAAGCUUAAAUGAGGAAUAGGGACGAGAAGACCCURUAGAUCUUUAUAUAAUUUGAUUUUAUGAAUAAUUGGUUAUGAAUUAAUCAUAUAAUUAAAUUAUAUUUUAUUGGGGUGAUAUGAGAAUAUAAUAACUUCUUAAUUUUUUAACUUAAAUUUAUGGUUARUUGAUCCUUUAUUAUGGAAUUAAGAUUAAGAUACCUUAGGGAUAACAGCGUAAUUUUGUUGGAGAGUUCUUAUCGAUAAUGAAGAUUGCGACCUCNAUGUUGGAUUAAGAAUAURUUUUGGUGUAGAAGUUAAAAUUGUUGGUCUGUUC
rnacentral:rRNA from 1 species